rnacentral:rRNA from 1 species
AUUAAACGCUGGCGGCAUGCCUUACACAUGCAAGUCGAACGGUAGCGCGGGGCAACCUGGCGACGAGUGGCGAACGGGUGAGUAAUGCAUCGGAACGUACCUUUCAGUGGGGGAGUAACGUAGCGAAAGUUACGCUAAUACCGCAUAUUCUGUGAGCAGGAAAGCAGGGAGUCGCAAGACCUUGCGCUGAUUGAGCGGCCGAUGUCAGAUUAGCUAGUUGGUGAGGUAAAGGACUCACCAAGGCGACGAUCUGUAGCGGGUCGUGAGAGGAUGAUCCGCCACACUGGAACUGAGACACGGUCCAGACUCCUACGGGAGGCAGCAGUGGGGAAUUUUGGUACAAUGGGGGCGAACCCUCGAUCCAGCCAUGCCGCGUGAGUGAAGAAGGCCUCGG